rnacentral:rRNA from 1 species
AGUGAACGCUGGCGGUAGGCCUAACACAUGCAAGUCGAACGGCAGCACAGUAAGAGCUUGCUCUUACGGGUGGCGAGUGGCGGACGGGUGAGGAAUACAUCGGAAUCUACUUUUUCGUGGGGGAUAACGUAGGGAAACUUACGCUAAUACCGCAUACGACCUACGGGUGAAAGCAGGGGAUCUUCAGACCUUGCGCGAUUGAAUGAGCCGAUGUCGGAUUAGCUAGUUGGCGGGGUAAAGGCCCACCAAGGCGACGAUCCGUAGCUGGUCUGAGAGGAUGAUCAGCCACACUGGAACUGAGACACGGUCCAGACUCCUACGGGAGGCAGCAGCGGGGAAUAUUGGACAAUGGGCGCAAGCCUGAUCCAGCCAUACCGCGUGGGUGAAGAAGGCCUUCGGGUUGUAAAGCCCUUUUGUUGGGAAAGAAGAGCAGCAGGUUAAUACCCCGCUGUUCUGACGGUACCCAAAGAAUAAGCACCGGCUAACUUCGUG